CUGACUGCACGGCAUUUCGCAGAGACGUAGACAUGAAAAACGUCCCCAGGUCACUACUCAUUGCUAUUGCGGGGGUAUUAUUUGCGAUAGAAAUCUCUGAACAAUGGACGGUUAUGGACAUUAAAGCUUGGAAGAAUGGGAAGUGCUACUUCAGAGGAAGAAGUUAUCAAGUUGGAGAGGCAAUGUAUGACACAAAGCAGUGCAUGAAAUGGAUUUGUAUCCGACAGAACAGCACUCAUGGCGGGAUGUCUGGUGCAGGGUGCGGAAAGGUGCACGCAAAGCCACGAUGCAAAAAGAUACCUACGAGGGAAGGUAUACACCCGAAAUGUUGCGAGUAUGCACUGUGCGGAACCAGGCGAUUUACCGGAUAGACUAUUGGUGCUUGAACAAAGACAAUUUGAGUGCAAGAAGC